GACGAACGCUGGCGGCGUGCUUAACACAUGCAAGUCGAACGGAAAGGCCCUGCUUUUGUGGGGUGCUCGAGUGGCGAACGGGUGAGUAACACGUGAGUAACCUGCCCUUGACUUUGGGAUAACUUCAGGAAACUGGGGCUAAUACCGGAUAGGAGCUCCUGCUGCAUGGUGGGGGUUGGAAAGUUUCGGCGUUUGGGGAUGGACUCGCGGCUUAUCAGCUUGUUGGUGGGGUAGUGGCUUACCAAGGCUUUGACGGGUAGCCGGCCUGAGAGGGUGACCGGCCACAUUGGGACUGAGGUACGGCCCAGACUCCUACGGGAGGCAGAGGUGGGGAAUAUUGCACAGUGGGCGGGAGCCAGAUGCAACAACGCCGCGUGCGGGAUGACGGCCUUCGGGUUGUAAACCGCUUUCGCCUGUGACGAAGCGUGAGUGACGGUAAUGGGUAAAGAAGCACCGGCUAACUACGUG
rnacentral:rRNA from 1 species